CGUCGUGCAGUAGGAUUGGCUCCCCGAUAUUAUUGACCGCAUCUUCGUACAUGAUUGCACAAAAUGGUAAAUCUUCCUGGGAUUGAAAAUCCAAUGAGACGAAACGAAUCGUCAAGUAAUUCCAUUAUCUUGUCUUCAGACGAUGCAAAUGAUCAAGAUACUCAUCUUUAACAAAUUGUUUCAAAAUCAAAUUUACUUGACGAGUAAUUGGAUGUACUGUGCAGCAAUAAAAGGAUCGAAAUCAUCCAACUGUUGCUGUUAAUCCACAAAAAUCCGUUAAGAACAGAGCGUCACUUCCGUCUUCCCAUCACAUCCAGACGAUUUGUGCAGAAAACCAACAGCUACAGCUAAAAAUCACCUCCACCGAUCCAAUUUACUGGAGCUAUUCGAUCGUCGCUUUUCCCCAUCAUUCGUGAAAGCCGUGGCACAGUCCUGCUGCAGGAUCAAGAGAAGUAAAUCGUCUUCGAUCUUCGACGCCUCUUCGUAAUCUGCUUCGUAAAUUGUUGUCGGCUUUCUAAUAUCGUUCACUUCGUCUUUCUUUUAUAAUCAUUCCAGUUGAACUUUCCUGAAUUAUUAAAACUUAUAAAGACGGGGAAAAAAAUAAUGAUGGAAAAAAAAUCGUAUGCGGAUUAUUGAUCACAUUGCAAUUACAGACUUGAGCAAGAUAAUCACAAAUGGAUUAGUACAGAGAGUACAGAUAAUUCCAUUAGUAUAAUUACAUCCACACGACAAAUGGUCAGGACAAUAAGAAACAUAGUUAUAAUUUAUAUAAUAAUAAGAGAUUAACACAAAAGAAUCGAUAUGGAAAUGGAGGUAGAAAAUUUUGAAAUAUUUAAAUUGUUGUUAAAUCAUUCAUCGGUUUGACUGAAAUGGCACGUGACACGCAAUUGUCCGUGACAUUGAAUUGUCCAUUCGCAAUUAUCCGACACGUGCAAUAUCCAUUUACUAUUCAUACUCGAAUCAUACGCAAUUGCGUUUCAUAAAGGAUCAUCGGUGCGUGCGUGCACAUGCAAUCAUGUACUUGAGUUAAUUUUACAGCUAAACAUUACACCAAAGCUAGUAAAUUGGAGCUUUCCAUCUAGCUUUCAGCAAGCCACAAAGUUCAUAACUCAUUUCAAUACAAAACUAAUUCAAUUUGCUUUGAAAAAAGAAAUCCUUUUGG